rnacentral:misc_RNA from 1 species
AACGCACAUUGCGCUCUCUGGUAUUCCGGAGAGCAUGCCCGUUUCAGAAUCAGCAAAUCAUCCUCAGACGGUCUGGUUUGGCUCGCAAGGGCCGCAUCGGAACGACUGGACUUUGGACGUGUCGUUUCUCACCCCAGAGAAACUCGUCUCAAACCCAUGGGAAAUGCUGAGGUGGCCAUUCAAUGGACCUUGCGGAGCAGCAACAGUAGCCCCAAUCUUGGGAUUUCUUUUUCUCUCUGUAUCGAUCCAGGCAUCUCGUGUUCAAUCACAAGGCCUUUCCGAACCGCCUUCUCAGAGAGGCAAUCUUUUUUGGGCUCGUCUCAAAAGAGAAAGAACUUGGUCUGAAAUCGGGCAAGAAAACCCGCUGAACUUAA